AUGGACCAAUCCAUCCCUUUUUCCCGUGCAUAUGCAUCAGACUCGGAUGACGAUGGUCCUGAUGAAGAAGUUGAUGAGGGGGGGUUCACACGGAAGGAGGCCAAAGCAUUCAAGAAGGUAUUCGGGCGGGAUCACAAGACACCAUUGUUCAAGGAUCUUAGUCUCGCGGAUGAAGCCGUUGUGGAUGGUGGAAAAUGCAUAUCUCUUGAAGCUAGGCCAAGUUCUCAC
rnacentral:rRNA from 1 species